UCUGCGUCGGGGCCUCGCCGUCCCACCGGAUGACGCGGGCCGAGCUGCCGGUCCCGACGUCUGCCCCAGCUUCUCCUCUGCGAUGCUGUGGGAACCGGGCCUCAGGGACCUGUCGUCUCAACACGGCGCGAGAGGGCGGAGCUGCUGUCCGGUGACCGCCGCCGUCCCCCCGCCCACGCGUUCGUUCACUCACUCACUCGCUGGAGCUGGCACGGGUGGUCCUUGUCCUGGGGCCACCUCCGUGCGCGUCCCACCCGUCCACCCAGCGUCUCCCCUUCUCCUUGUCCGUUCGCUGUUCCGCGAACCCCAACCUGCCUCUGCUGUUUCCUCGACCCCGAGCACCCCGGUCCGUGUCCAGCCGUCUGCUGUCCAUCUUCCUUGUCCCCACCUGUCUCUUCAGCCAUUCGAUCAUCCACCGCCCACUCGCCCACCCAUCCAGUGGUAAUUAGAGCUACUGGCCGCUGGACUCAGGGCUGGGGGCCCGGCUCAGACACGAGGCAGACGUGGGGCCCCUCAGCCUGCAGGAGAAGCAUCAGUGGGAAGGAUGCUUGUGGGGUCUGUGCGGAUCUGAGUGUUCAGGCCACUUGGGUCUCGAGGGAGCAGGAGCUGGCCUCAGCCGGCUGGCAAGCCGGGGCGGGGGGCGCAGGGGGCACAGCUUCCCCACUGGGCAGCGACUCUGGUUUCCUGUGUUAUCGAUUGAGGUGGCAUUUGAGAGGGUGGGUCCUGGCCCACAGCCCACGCCCCUGCUGCCCAGCCCAUGGGACAGGAGAGUUUGGAGGGGUCCUAGAAACUGGGAAUCAGGCCAGAGGGGAGGGCUGUGCCCAAGGCACCCUGUGAACCAGGCCCCUGGACCACCCUCUGCUCCCAAGGCCAGCAGCUGGCUGCCACUUCCCAUUCACAGAGGGGGUCCCUGAUCCCCAGCGGGGCCUGACGUGGCUGUGCCCGGGCUCCCGCGAGGCCUCCAGGCUGCAAUGUGGUGUCUGCCUUCCCUGCACUGAGGCCGGACCCAGAGGCGGCUGAGUUGUCUGAAGAGCAGGAAACGGCGUGGACAGACCGGGGCCUGACUCAGCCGCCGGGCGCGUGACCUCGGGCAGGUCCCGCCACCUCCCUGAGCCUCGGACUCCUUGUCUGUCAAGCGGGGGUGGCAAUGCUGACCACAUGUGCAUGUAGCCCCAGCAUGGAGCCGGCAGCAUGGGACCUGCAGGACUGAAGCCAGAGGUCUCUGCAGAUGGCGGGGCCACCGGUGUGUGUGCACACGAGCCCGUGGACACGAACGAGCCGAGCGUCUGGGUUGAGCACGUCAGGUCCAGGGGGGCUUUCGGAUCACCAGCGACUCUGUGGGUGGGGACAUCCGUGCCCGAGCUCAGCCGCUGUUGUGGCGGCAGACGUGACAUCAAUUAUUGACACGCCGGCCACCCCCAGUUAAAUCCACAAUCCGGCCGCUCUGCAGAUCUCGAUUCCGACCCGAGCUGAUGCUGCCCCUAACAUUAUUAUAAUGAGGGAUGAAAGCCGAAUCGCCUUCGCCGAGACUCCAUCAUUCUUCCGUGCUUCUCCUCAUCGAUCUUUCUUUCCCCAGGUUUUACCAUAAAUUAUUCUAUUCAAUUAAGUAAACUCACACAUAAUGGCAUUUUGCAAACUGAAUAAUUUAUCGACUGCGUUUGG